AUGAACGCUGGCGGCGUGCCUAAUACAUGCCAGUCGAGCGAACGGACGAGAAGCUUGCUUCUCUGAUGUUAGCGGCGGACGGGUGAGUAACACGUGGAUAACCUACCUAUAAGACUGGGAUAACUUCGGGAAACCGGAGCUAAUACCGGAUAAUAUUUUGAACCGCAUGGUUCAAAAGUGAAAGACGGUCUUGCUGUCACUUAUAGAUGGAUCCGCGCUGCAUUAGCUAGUUGGUAAGGUAACGGCUUACCAAGGCAACGAUGCAUAGCCGACCUGAGAGGGUGAUCGGCCACUCUGGAACUGAGACACGGUCCAGACUCCUACGGGAGGCAGCAGUAGGGAAUCUUCCGCAAUGGGCGAAAGCCUGACGCAGCAACGCCGCGUGAGUGAUGAAGGUCUUCGGAUCGUAAAACUCUGUUAUUAGGGAAGAACAUAUGUGUAAGUAACUGUGCACAUCUUGACGGUACCUAAUCAGAAAGCCACGGCUAACUACGUG
rnacentral:rRNA from 1 species